ensembl:lincRNA
ACCCAGGUGCUCAGCUGAUGCCAUCUGACUUGGACCAUCUUCCAGUUCUGUCGUCUUCUGGCUGGCUUCCUUUUCAGGCUUGCUCCUUCCUGUUGUGGCACUUCAAGCCUAGUCCCUGCCCACUGACUACCCCCAAAGACAUGGGGCCGCCUCUUUCCUCACUAUUGCAGCAAAAAUCACAGAAGUGGGCCGCUGACUCGGCUUGGAUCAAGAGCCCACUGUGUAUAUCCCACCACUGGGAUGGAAUGUUCUGACUGCCUGUGUCUGGACCAGCCCAACAGAAUCAUGUGAACUGAGCAAGUCUGGGAGGGAUAGUUCCCAAAGAAGGACAGAGGUUCCGACGCCGUGGAGGAACAGAUGCUGGUGGCAGAAGGACAGUCGUGCCCUUGGCCCAGCAUGCAGGCAGCCUGGGUGCUCAGCCCUUCAGAGGCUGGACAGGGCCCAGGAGGAGGAAGGACAGGCCAUGACGGCCAGGCCUGGGUGGACGUCAGCCAGGCCGUGAAUCCAGAGCCAGAUUGCUCAGGGUCCCACCAUUCACCAGUCACUGCUGGCCCCCUUCCUGGUUUAGACUCAUCCUACUGGUUCCUGCUGAGGCCAGCUGUGGGUGUCAGGAGCCCUCCCAACCAGACCCCGCUGCCAGCAACCCAGGUACUUUCACACACUCCAGUCGAGCAAGCACCAGGACCUCCUGGUGUCUCCAUUUCCAUCCCUUUCCAGCCUCUCCCCUGCCCUGGCCCCCUGCCAGACCCUGCCAGGGCACCCCCAGGGGGCAGCCCAGCCUCCCCUCUGGCCUCCCAGUUUGGGCAGAAGGUCUUCCAAGAUCAGGCCUCUCCCUCUCUUCCUCACAGGUCUGGGCUGGUGUCCCUCUGCCCCAAAGAUAAAGCCAAGCCUCUUGGCAUGACUUACUCUCUGGACUGACCAUAUGAUAGCCAGGCCCUGAGCCUCAACAGACUUCAGCUCCUACACUCUGGUUUAUUGGACUUACCCGACUCAGCUAACAUGGAGGUGAAGAAUGUCAACCACCACACCAGGGAGCCAAGAGUGCCUACAACUGAAAGCAGGAGAAUUGCAUCUGGCAUCCAUGUGGAAUCUAAGCCCUCUCUUGAUAUAGAUGUGGAGUGGACACAGCCAUUCUAAGGUCUACAGGAUGGAGGAAUAGAGUAUGGAUUAGAGUGAACUUACUGAUAUUCUAUUCAUGAACUAUUGUGAUUAGUAAUUGAAGAAAAUGUGGCAUUGGUGUGGAGAAAGUGGCCAUGGUGGCUGCUGGGGGUAGGGAGUGGGAGGAAGAGAUGUGAUGUGGGGGCAUUUUCAGGACUUGGAGUUGUCCUGGGUGGUCCUGUGGGGACAGUUACCGGACAUUGUAUGUCCUCCCAGGGCCCACUGGGUGGACUGUGGGAGAGUGUGGGCUAUGGUGUGGACCAUUGACCAUGAGGUGCGGCGGUGCUCAGAGAUGUAUUCACCAAAUGCAAUGAAUGUCUCAUGAUGAUGGAGGAGGUUGUUGUUAUGGGGGGAGGAGUGGAGUGAGGGGGGUGGGGGCUGUAUGGGGACCUCAUAUUUUUUUAAUGUAACAUUAAAAAAUAAAUAAAGUCAAAAAGAAAAAAAAAUCAUAAAAAAAAUAAAGCUGCUUGUCCA